rnacentral:rRNA from 1 species
CCUACGGGUGGCAGCAGUGAGGAAUAUUGGUCAAUGGACGAGAGUCUGAACCAGCGAAGUAGCGUGAAGGAUGACUGCCCUAUGGGUUGUAAACUUCUUUUAUAAAGGAAUAAAACGAGGCACGUGUGCCUUUUUGCAUGUACUUUAUGAAUAAGGAUCGGCUAACUCCGUGCCAGCAGCCGCGGUAAUACGGAGGAUCCGAGGGUUAUCCGGAUUUAUUGGGUUUAAAGGGAGCGUAGGUGGAUUGUUAAGUCAGUUGUGAAAGUUUGCGGCUCAACCGUAAAAUUGCAGUUGAAACUGGCAGUCUUGAGUACAGGAGAGGUGAGCGGAAUUCGUGGUGUAGGGGUGAAAUGCUUAGAUAUCACGAAGAACUCCGAUUGCGAAGGCGGCCUGCUGGACUGCAACUGACGUUGAGGCGCGAAAGCGUGGGGAGCAAACAGGAUUAGAUACCCGGGUAGUC